GCGGCGGCAGGCUUAACACUUGCAAGUCGAACGAUGAAACUCUAGCUGCUAGAGAAGAUUAGUGGCGGACGGGUGAGUAACAUUUAGGAAUCUGCCUAGUAGUGGGGGAUAGCUCGGGGAAACUCGAAUUAAUACCGCAUACGACUACGGGUGAAAGGGGGCGCAAGCUCUUGCUAUUAGAUGAGCCUAAAUCAGAUAGCUAGUUGGUGGGGUAAAGGCCCACCAAGGCGACGAUCUGUAACUGGUCUGAGAGGAUGAUCAGUCACACCGGAACUGAGACACGGUCCGGACUCCUACGGGAGGCAGCAGUGGGGAAUAUUGGACAAUGGGGGCAACCCUGAUCCAGCCAUGCCGCGUGUGUGAAGAAGGCCUUUUGGUUGUAAAGCACUUUAAGCAGGGAGGAGAGGCUAAUGGUUAAUACCCAUUAGAUUAGACGUUACCUGCAGAAUAAGCACCGGCUAACUCUGUGCCAGCAGCCGCGGUAAUACAGAGGGUGCGAGCGUUAAUCGGAAUUACUGGGCGUAAAGCGAGUGUAGGUGGCUCAUUAAGUCACAUGUGAAAUCCCCGGGCUUAACCUGGGAACUGCAUGUGAUACUGGUGGUGCUAGAAUAUGUGAGAGGGAAGUAGAAUUCCAGGUGUAGCGGUGAAAUGCGUAGAGAUCUGGAGGAAUACCGAUGGCGAAGGCAGCUUCCUGGCAUAAUAUUGACACUGAGAUUCGAAAGCGUGGGUAGCAAACAGGAUUAGAUACCCUGGUAGUCCACGCCGUAAACGAUGUCUACUAGCCGUUGGGGUCCUUGAGACUUUAGUGGCGCAGUUAACGCGAUAAGUAGACCGCCUGGGGAGUACGGCCGCAAGGUUAAAACUCAAAUGAAUUGACGGGGGCCCGCACAAGCGGUGGAGCAUGUGGUUUAAUUCGAUGCAACGCGAAGAACCUUACCUGGUCUUGACAUAGUGAGAAUCCUGCAGAGAUGCGGGAGUGCCUUCGGGAAUUCACAUACAGG
rnacentral:rRNA from 1 species